rnacentral:lncRNA from 1 species
CCGAGAGAUUGGCAUCAAGGUUAGAGAAGAAGGUCAGGCAAUAUCCAAGCACGUUUUUGAAGCUAUCAUCUAUUUGAUAAUUCCGAUACUGUUCAAUUUUUUUUGUACUUAUUGUCAACUUAAUUUUUAAAAAACAAGCAAAUUUUGAGUUAAGAUCAACAGUUCAUUCAUUAGUAAUUGAGGUAUAAAUUUAUUAUAGAAAUUACUAGGAUUUUAUUUAGGAUUUAGGGUUUGGUUUAGGGUUUGAUUAGGAUUUGAUUUAGAGUUAGGAUUUAGUUAGGAUUUAAGAUUUAGUUUAGAGUUUGAUUAGAAUUUGAUUUAGGAUUUAAGAUUUAAUUUAGAGUUUGAUUAGAAUUUGAUUUAGGAUUUAAGAUUUGAUUUAGGACUUGGUUAAGGUUUGAUUUAGGAUUUGGAUUUAGUUUAGGAUUUAGAAUUUGAUUAGGAUUUGGUUAGGAUUUAGUUUAGGGUUUAAAGUUUGGUUAGAAUUUGGUUAGGAUUUGAUUUAAGGUUUAGGAUUUUAUUUGGAUUUAUUUAAGAUUUAAGAUUUAAUUAAUUUUUGGCCUAAAGUUUGAAUGAAGUCUAAUAUGAUUUCAACUAGGAUUAAAUUAAGAUUGAAUUGAGAUGUAUUUGAGAUAUGUUUGUGAUCAUUCUAAUAUUUCUUUAAGACUUUUUAUUGUUUCUUUGUAAUUCCUUUGAGGUUUCUUUGAAUUUGAUUAAAGCUUGCUUAGUAUUGUUAUGGUUUAAUUAGAGUUUAGUUAGUAUUCUAUUAGAAUUAAGAUUUUUUUGUUGUAACUUCCAUUCUACCUUCCACAACCAGGUGCCUGGAGUAUU